rnacentral:rRNA from 1 species
UCAAACCUGAGAGUUUGAUCCUGGCUCAGAACGAACGCUGGCGGCAGGCUUAACACAUGCAAGUCGAACGCCCCGCAAGGGGAGUGGCAG